rnacentral:misc_RNA from 1 species
GAUGAAGAACGUAGCGAAAUGCGAUAAGUAAUGUGAAUUGCAGAGUUCAGUGAAUCAUCGAAUCUUUGAACGCACAUUGCGCCCGUUAGUAUUCUGACGGGCAUGCCUGUCCGAGCGUCAUUUCAACCCUCAGGCCCCCAGUGCCUGGUGUUGGGGAUCGGCCCAGCCUUCCUGUAAGGCCGCCGGCCCCGAAAUCUAGUGGCGGUCUCGCUGUAGUCCUCCUCUGCGUAGUAGCACAACCUCGCAGUUGGAACGCGGCGGUGGCCAUGCCGUUAAACACCCCACUUCUGAAAGUUGACCUCGGAUCAGGUAGGAAUACCCGCUGAACUUAAGCAUAUCAAUAAGCGGAGGA